AAUCAACUCAGCAGGAUAUGCAAUCUGUUAUAAGAGAAGGCAAAACAGAAGUGAAUGUGUUAAACAACUCCCUUAUGCAAAUGAUAUCUCCAGCUGAGGUUUACACAGUGUUCAGUUCUCAAUUCUAUCAAUUAUCACAACAGUAUUGCACCAUUAUUCAAAUACUCAGCAAAGCACUCACUGCAACUAAGUACAAGCCAUAACACAAGUAAUUUUAAGCAAAAUAUAAGCAAUUUAGGGUAGAAGACUCCCUUCAGUUCAGAUGGCUAUUUCUCAACUUAUAAUCUGCACAAUGAGAUGCAAUAUAGAUCUUAACUUGACAAAAACCCAGUGCUACAGUUGCAAGAUAAUUUUGAACACGUAAAACCAACUAUGCAACCACUGAUGUUGAAAACAUGAAAUCAGUUUUAAGGUGACAUGCAAAGAUAUACAAUCAAUUAAUAUGAUUAAAACUGAAUUCUGAAGCUGCUUUUCCAAUACAAUUGGAGGGAUGUUUUCAACAAAGAGAGAAUAAUUGCUUCUAAUGAGAACCCAAUGCAGCAAUCAGCAAAUUCAUUCAAGCAUGCAAUCAGAAUUGUAAAUGCGAUGCUAUAGUCACUUUUGUAAAACUGACUGAAAUAUUGGCAGUGAAACAGUG
rnacentral:lncRNA from 1 species